rnacentral:rRNA from 1 species
UACAGAGGGUGCGAGCGUUAAUCGGAAUCACUGGGCAUAAAGCGCACGUAGGCGGCCAUGUCAGUCGGGUGUGAAAGCCCUCGGCUCAACCGAGGAACUGCGUCCGAUACUGCAUGGCUUGAGGUCCGGAGGGGAGAGUGGAAUUCCCGGUGUAGCGGUGAAAUGCGCAGAUAUCGGGAGGAACACCAAUGGCGAAGGCAGCUCGCUGGGACGUUACUGACGCUGAGACGCGAAAGCGUGGGGAGCAAACAGG